rnacentral:ncRNA from 1 species
GAUUAAGCCAUGCAUGUCUAAGUAUAAGCAAUUAUACCGCGAAACUGCGAAUGGCUCAUUAAAUCAGUUAUCGUUUAUUUGAUAGUACCUUACUACAUGGAUAACCGUGGUAAUUCUAGAGCUAAUACAUGCUAAAAAUCCCAACUUCGGAAGGGAUGUAUUUAUUAGAUUAAAAACCAAUGCCCUCCGGGGCUCACUGGUGAUUCAUAAUAACUUCUCGAAUCGCAUGGCCUUGCGCCGGCGAUGGUUCAUUCAAAUGAACGACUGGAUGCGAUGACCAUUCACCUAUCAUCUUUGAUGAUUUAAAGGUUGGAUUUUGAUUAAAAAGUUUAGAGACUUAAGCUUGGAAUGUGAACUUACCCUUAGGAGC